UACGUAGGAGGCAAGCGUUGUCCGGAAUUACUGGGCGUAAAGCGCGUGUAGGUGGUGGGACAAGUCUGCUGUGAAAGCGCCUGGCUUAACCGGGCGAGGUCGGCGGAAACUGUCCGACUAGAGGACGGUAGAGGAUGGUGGAAUUCCCGGUGUAGCGGUGAAAUGCGUAGAGAUCGGGAGGAACACCCGUGGCGAAGGCGGCCAUCUGGACCAGCACUGACGCUGAGGCACGAAAGCGUGGGGAGCAAACAGG
rnacentral:rRNA from 1 species